AAAGAAACGAAAGAAUCGGUUACAUUUUUCAUAGGAUCUCCUCUUAUAGAUAGACUCAAAAAUCGAUCAGAGUUC
rnacentral:tRNA from 1 species